rnacentral:rRNA from 1 species
AUUGAACGCUGGCGGCAUGCCUUACACAUGCAAGUCGAACGGUAACGGGCCUUCGGGUGCCGACGAGUGGCGAACGGGUGAGUAAUACAUCGGAACGUGCCCGAUCGUGGGGGAUAACGAGGCGAAAGCUUUGCUAAUACCGCCUACGAUCUCCGGAUGAAUGCAGGGGACCGCAAGGCCUCGCGCGACCGGAGCGGCCGAUGGCAGAUUAGGUCGUUGGUGGGAUAAAAGCUUACCAAGCCGACGAUCUGUAGCUGGUCUGAGAGGAUGAUCAGCCACACUGGGACUGAGACACGGCCCAGACUCCUACGGGAGGCAGCAGUGGGGAAUUUUGGACAAUGGGCGCAAGCCUGAUCCAGCCAUGCCGCGUGCAGGAUGAAGGCCUUCGGGUUGUAAACUGCUUUUGUACGGAACGAAAAGCCUUCUUUUAAUACAGGAGGGUCAUGACGGUACCGUAAGAAUAAGCACCGGCUAACUACGUG